rnacentral:tRNA from 1 species
UAUGCCUUAGUAUUUUAUGUACGAGAAUUUUUGAUAUUUUAAGGGGGAGAUAAGCGCUCUCAGGUAUAU